GAGUUAGCUUAUUACAAAUAGCGAGCUUUGUUAACCAAUAGUUAACAAGUCAUUCAUAAUGUAGCAUACCGGAUUAUGUAGCCGUCACGACAAUCUUUUGUUCACUUAAUAAAAUUAUAUUAGUUUAUACUUGGUUUGUCGUUUUUUAGUUAUGCACUUUGAUAUUCAACUAUUUGAAUAUGCUAAUAUCUGGAACUUGAAAAAGAAAUCUCAUAGGUUAUCG
rnacentral:lncRNA from 1 species